AGGCUUUCCCCUUCGGGGGACGGAGUGACAGGUGGUGCAUGGUUGUCGUCAGCUCGUGUCGUGAGAUGUUGGGUUAAGUCCCGCAACGAGCGCAACCCUUGACCCUAGUUGCCAGCAUUAAGUUGGGCACUCCAGGGUGACUGCCGGUGACAAACCGGAGGAAGGUGGGGAUGACGUCAAAUCAUCAUGCCCCUUAUGAUCUGGGCUACACACGUGCUACAAUGGGCGGUACAAAGGGCAGCGAGACCGCGAGGUUGAGCGAAUCCCGGAAAGCCGCCCCCAGUUCGGAUUGCAGGCUGCAACCCGCCUGCAUGAAGCCGGAAUUGCUAGUAAUCGCGGAUCAGCAUGCCGCGGUGAAUCCGUUCCCGGGCCUUGUACACACCGCCCGUCACACCAUGAGAGCGGGUAACACCCGAAGUCGGUGGGAGAACCCUUAGGGGACUCAGCCGCCGAAGGUGGGACCCGUGAUUGGGGUGAAGUCGUAACAAGGUAGCCGUAUCGGAAGGUGCGGCU
rnacentral:rRNA from 1 species